GAUGAAGAACGUAGCGAAAUGCGAUAACUAAUGUGAAUUGCAGAAUUCCGUGAAUCAUCGAGUCUUUGAACGCACAUUGCGCCCCCUGGUAUUCCGGGGGGCAUGCCUGUCCGAGCGUCAUCGCUGCCCAUCAAGCACGGCUUGUGUGUUGGGUCCUCGUCCCCCCCGGGGGACGUGCCCGAAAGGCAGCGGCGGCACCGCGUCCAGUCCUCGAGCGUAUGGGGCUUUGUCACCCGCUCUGCAGGCCCGGCCGGCGCUGGCCGACGCGAAAGCAACCAUUUUUUCUCCAGGUUGACCUCGGAUCAGGUAGGGAUACCCGCUGAACUUAAGCAUAUCAAUAAGCGGAGGA
rnacentral:misc_RNA from 1 species